rnacentral:rRNA from 1 species
UACAGAGGUGGCAAGCGUUAUCCGGAUUUACUGGGUGUAAAGGGCUGGUAGGCGGUGAUGCAAGUCCUGCGUGAAAUGCUGAGGCUCAACCUCAGCGCUGCGCUGGAAACUGCGUCACUCGAGUGUGGGAGAGGAAGGCGGAAUUUCCAGUGUAGCGGUGAAAUGCGUAGAUACUGGAAGGAACACCAGCGGCGAAGGCGGCCUUCUGGACCAACACUGACGCUGAGCAGCGAAAGCUAGGGGAGCAAACGGGAUUAGAUACCCCGGUAGUCCUAGCCGUAAACGAUGGGCACUAGGCGUGGGAGGCAUCGACCCCUUCCGUGCCGCAGCUAACGCGAUAAGUGCCCCACCUGGGGACUACGGCCGCAAGGUUGAA